AUGCUGGAGGUAUCAGAAGUGCGAAUGCUGACAUAAGUAACGAUAAAGCGGGUGAAAAGCCCGCUCGCCGGAAGACCAAGGGUUCCUGUCCAACGUUAAUCGGGGCAGGGUGAGUCGACCCCUAAGGCGAGGCCGAAAGGCGUAGUCGAUGGGAAACAGGUUAAUAUUCCUGUACUUGGUGUUACUGCGAAGGGGGGACGGAGAAGGCUAUGUUGGCCGGGCGACGGUUGUCCCGGUUUAAGCGUGUAGGCUGGUUUUCCAGGCAAAUCCGGAAAAUCAAGGCUGAGGCGUGAUGACGAGGCACUACGGUGCUGAAGCAACAAAUGCCCUGCUUCCAGGAAAAGCCUCUAAGCAUCAGGUAACAUCAAAUCGUACCCCAAACCGACACAGGUGGUCAGGUAGAGAAUACCAAGGCGCUUGAGAGAACUCGGGUGAAGGAACUAGGCAAAAUGGUGCCGUAACUUCGGGAGAAGGCACGCUGAUAUGUAGGUGAAGCGACUUGCUCGUGGAGCUGAAAUCAGUCGAAGAUACCAGCUGGCUGCAACUGUUUAUUAAAAACACAGCACUGUGCAAACACGAAAGUGGACGUAUACGGUGUGACGCCUGCCCGGUGCCGGAAGGUUAAUUGAUGGGGUCAGCGCAAGCGAAGCUCUUGAUCGAAGCCCCGGUAAACGGCGGCCGUAACUAUAACGGUCCUAAGGUAGCGAAAUUCCUUGUCGGGUAAGUUCCGACCUGCACGAAUGGCGUAAUGAUGGCCAGGCUGUCUCCACCCGAGACUCAGUGAAAUUGAACUCGCUGUGAAGAUGCAGUGUACCCGCGGCAAGACGGAAAGACCCCGUGAACCUUUACUAUAGCUUGACACUGAACAUUGAGCCUUGAUGUGUAGGAUAGGUGGGAGGCUUUGAAGUGUGGACGCCAGUCUGCAUGGAGCCGACCUUGAAAUACCACCCUUUAAUGUUUGAUGUUCUAACGUGGACCCGUAAUCCGGGUUGCGGACAGUGUCUGGUGGGUAGUUUGACUGGGGCGGUCUCCUCCUAAAGAGUAACGGAGGAGCACGAAGGUUGGCUAAUCCUGGUCGGACAUCAGGAGGUUAGUGCAAUGGCAUAAGCCAGCUUGACUGCGAGCGUGACGGCGCGAGCAGGUGCGAAAGCAGGUCAUAGUGAUCCGGUGGUUCUGAAUGGAAGGGCCAUCGCUCAACGGAUAAAAGGUACUCCGGGGAUAACAGGCUGAUACCGCCCAAGAGUUCAUAUCGACGGCGGUGUUUGGCACCUCGAUGUCGGCUCAUCACAUCCUGGGGCUGAAGUAGGUCCCAAGGGUAUGGCUGUUCGCCAUUUAAAGUGGUACGCGAGCUGGGUUUAGAACGUCGUGAGACAGUUCGGUCCCUAUCUGCCGUGGGCGCUGGAGAACUGAGGGGGGCUGCUCCUAGUACGAGAGGACCGGAGUGGACGCAUCACUGGUGUUCGGGUUGUCAUGCCAAUGGCACUGCCCGGUAGCUAAAUGCGGAAGAGAUAAGUGCUGAAAGCAUCUAAGCACGAAACUUGCCCCGAGAUGAGUUCUCCCUGACUCCUUGAGAGUCCUGAAGGAACGUUGAAGACGACGACGUUGAUAGGCCGGGUGUGUAAGCGCAGCGAUGCGUUGAGCUAACCGGUACUAAUGAACCGUGAG
rnacentral:rRNA from 1 species